AGGAGGUGGUGAGGUGUGGAAGGGGAUGAGAGUCCCUACACCCAGGCCUCAGCAGCAGAGCUCUCGCCCUCCCACCCUCCAUGGGAGGACACAGCAGGGAACCUAGGGCCCUCGCCAGACCCCAAACCUGCCCAGGCCUUGGUCUAAGACUUUCAGCCUCAAGAACUCUGAGAAGUUUCUGUCUUCAUGAAUCGCCUGACCUGGGGGACUGUCACAGCAACACAAGGAACUCGGCACAGGCCACUGCAGAGACCACAGCCUGCCCAGGACCCCUGAGCAGCCCAUGGCCAGGAGAACAGGGUCUGCAAAUGCACAUGCCCCAGCCAGGCACGGAAAUACGCCUGUGAGCGACACCACAUCAGCUGCUUACUCCCAACAGUUCAGAAACAAACGUGGGGGUGAAAGACGGAGACCCGGGGCAGGGCAGGAGGCAGGAGGGACACAGCCAACACGGCAGGAGGUGUCUUUCCAAGAUGAGUCCCAUCCAGGGCCCUUCCCCACUCCUCUUCAACGGUUUCAGUGGAUUCCUGCUCAGGCCCUUUUUCUGGACAUAACGGCCAACUGUUUACAGAGAGAUCAGUGGUGACUGGCGACUCUUUCUGGAGUCAAUGGAAGAUGAAGGACCAGGAGCCUGGUGCAGCUAUUCUUAGAG